rnacentral:lncRNA from 1 species
UGAAACUUCUAGGUGUUCUUCCUACUAUUUGUAUGAAAUUUUUGAAGCCCACACUGAUGAAAGUUUAUGAACCUUGGCAAAACAUUUGCUGAACCAGUCUGAGUUUCACGUUUACUUGGAACUGAAACCAGGACCACCAGCCAGCACAUCAACCUCCAUUCCCCUUUCUCCAUUUAUAUGACCAUCAUCUGUAAGAAGCCUUGAAAGAAUAACUCAGCCCGUGGGGAAGAUUGCAAAUACAAGCCAAGAGAGUACUCCCCAAGAUAAUCUUCCCUACAUCUCUGAGAAGGGGAGUAAAAGUAAACCUCUGCCCCUCACCUUCUCACCAUCUGCCUGCCACUUCCUUCAGAGCUCAGAGGAACUUGGCCGUCUACUCCUACACCUUCCAAUCCUUCUUCCCCUCUGAAGAAGAGUACAUCAGCAUCUGGAAAUCAUUGGUUAUUUUGUAAUCAUUUUCCUGUGAUUCUCUCAUGCUUAUGUACAUUAUAAAUAAAUUUUGUAUGCC